AGCCAUCGCAGCGGCGCACUCCUCCUCCCAGCGCCCUGGGAUCUGAUCGGCAACACUCCUCCUCCUCCCAGUUGCCGAUACAAUCAAAGCCUGACGCACCUCCUCCCGCGUCAGGCUUUUUUG
rnacentral:sRNA from 1 species